rnacentral:rRNA from 1 species
CCUACGGGAGGCAGCAGUGAGGAAUAUUGGUCAAUGGUCGUACGUCUGACCCAGCCAUGUAGCGUGCAGGAUGACGGCUCUAUGAGUUGUAAACUGCUUUUGUACGAGGGUAAACUCCGUUACGUGUAUUGGUUUUUAAGUAUCGUAUGACUAAGGACCGGCUAAUUCCGUGCCAGCAGCCGCGGUAAUACGGAGGCUCCGCGCGUUAUCCGGAUUUAUUGGGUUUAAAGGGUGCGUAGGCGGGUUGAUAAGUGAGAGGUGAAAUACCGGGGCUCAACCACGGAACUGCCUCUAAUACUGGUGAGCUAGAGAGUAGUGGCGGUAGGCGGAAUUCAUGGUGUAGCGGUGAAAUGCUUAGAGAUCACACAGAACACCGAUUGCGAAGGCAGCAUACGAAAGUAUAGCUGACGUUGAGGCACGAAGGCGUGGGUAGCGAACAGGAGUAGAUACCCUAGUAGUC